rnacentral:rRNA from 1 species
UACGAAGGACCCGAGCGUUAUCCGGAUUUAUUGGGUUUAAAGGGUGCGUAGGCGUCCUGGAAAGUUACGGUUGAAAUCUCCUUGCUCAACAAGGAAACUGGCCGUAAAACUAUCAGGAUUGAGUACAUUUGAAGCGGGCGGAAUGUGUCAUGUAGCGGUGAAAUGCUUAGAUAUGACACAGAACACCAAUUGCGAAGGCAGCUCGCUAAACUGUAACUGACGCUGAGGCACGAAAGCGUGGGGAUCAAACAAG